AUGGGGUGCAGCAGGGGCGAAAACUUUACAAUGCGGGAAACCGCGAUAAGGGGACACUGAGUGCCAGCAUACUAUGUUGGCUGUCCACAUGUGUAAAAAGCAUGUGUUAGCAAGGGCUGGGCAAGACCGGUGCCAGCCGCCGCGGUAACACCGGCAGCCCGAGUGGUGAUCACUAUUAUUGGGUCUAAAGGGUCCGUAGCCGGUUUGAUCAGUCUUUUGGGAAAUCUGACAGCUUAACUGUUAGGCUUCCAAAGGAUACUGUCAGACUUGGGACCGGGAGAGGUAAGAGGUACUACAGGGGUAGGAGUGAAAUCUUGUAAUCCCUGUGGGACCACCAGUGGCGAAGGCGUCUUACCAGAACGGGUCCGACGGUGAGGGACGAAAGCUGGGGGCACGAACCGGAUUAGAUACCCGGGUAGUCCCAGCCGUAAACGAUGCUCGCUAGGUGUCAGGAAUGGUGCGACCGUUUNUGGUGCCGUAGGGAAGCCGUGAAGCGAGCCACCUGGGAAGUACGGCCGCAAGGCUGAAACUUAAAGGAAUUGGCGGGGGAGCAC
rnacentral:rRNA from 1 species